rnacentral:rRNA from 1 species
GAUGAACGCUGGCGGCGUGCCUAAUACAUGCAAGUCGAGCGAACAGACGAGGAGCUUGCUCCUCUGACGUUAGCGGCGGACGGGUGAGUAACACGUGGAUAACCUACCUAUAAGACUGGGAUAACUUCGGGAAACCGGAGCUAAUACCGGAUAAUAUAUUGAGCCGCAUGGUUCAAUAGUGAAAGACGGUUUUGCUGUCACUUAUAGAUGGAUCCGCGCCGCAUUAGCUAGUUGGUAAGGUAACGGCUUACCAAGGCAACGAUGCGUAGCCGACCUGAGAGGGUGAUCGGCCACACUGGAACUGAGACACGGUCCAGACUCCUACGGGAGGCAGCAGUAGGGAAUCUUCCGCAAUGGGCGAAAGCCUGACGGAGCAACGCCGCGUGAGUGAUGAAGGUCUUCGGAUCGUAAAACUCUGUUAUUAGGGAAGAACAAAUGUGUAAGUAACUAUGCACGUCUUGACGGUACCUAAGCAGAAAGCCACGGCUAACUACGU